AAUUGCGUGAAAUAAAGUCGCAAUUGUGUGCUAUAAAGUCAGAAUUCUGACGUUUUUUUCUCGCAAUUCUGAAUGUAUAACAUAAAUGCGAGUUUAUUGUUACAAGAUUUAUUUUCCCCAUGCUGUUAUUAUUUUAGCAUUUUCCUUACUUAUUCAUCAAUAAUUACUUAUAAUUAUUUAACAGUAUUAUACUACACAGUUUGAACAUCAUCUCAGUACAAUAUUGAGCUUACAUAUCACUUAAAACUAAUGCAUUCGAAUUAUAAUCAGAGAUGGGCACUGCGCAUGCGUAAAUGACGUCACCAAAACACACAUCCAUCGUGCUACAGACUGCAGCGAGGACCUCUUGGAAAAUAGUGCCCAGCUUCCAACGUGACGGCCGGGGACUAAGUUUUUGUAGUCAUCGCGCCAGCUGCACUCAUGCAAUAUUCCAUCGUUAGAGUCGUCAAAGAUUGGUAUUCAGCAGCAGCAGUCUCUCAGAAAAGAACAUGACAUGUAGCAGCGGCUCCACUGAACUGAUUGUCCACAUCAGGAAGUCAACAAAGGAGCACAAAACCACUGUAAGAACCACGCAGAUGAUAA